CCUACCUUCAACUGGAGAAUAACCCAUGGAAACGUGGACUAAUGCUCCAUAUGGUCAUCUUCCUGCAUAAGGGGACGACGAAAGAUUUAUCGGUUAGAGAUGGGCAUGCGUGAUAUUAGCUAGUUGGUGAGGCAACGGCUCACCAAGGCGACGAUAUCUAGGGGAGCUGAGAGGCUUAACCCCCACACUGGUACUGAGACACGGACCAGACUCCUACGGGAGGCAGCAGUGAGGAAUAUUGGUCAAUGGACGGAAGUCUGAACCAGCCAUGCCGCGUGAAGGAAGACGGCCCUAUGGGUUGUAAACUUCUUUUUACCGGGAGUAAUAAGGUCCAUGCGUGGACCGAUGAAAGUACCGGGAGAAUAAGCAUCGGCUAACUCCGUGCCAGCAGCCGCGGUAAUACGGAGGAUGCAAGCGUUAUCCGGAUUUAUUGGGUUUAAAGGGUGCGUAGGCGGACUGAUAAGUCAGCGGUGAAAGAUGUCGGCUCAACCGGCAGCCUGCCGUUGAUACUGUCAGCCUCGAGUUCAAACGGCGCAGGCGGAAUAUGUCAUGUAGCGGUGAAAUGCAUAGAUAUGACAUAGAACACCGAUCGCGAAGGCAGCUUGCGAGGAUGCAACUGACGCUGAGGCACGAAAGCGUGGGUAUCAAACAGGAUUAGAUACCCUGGUAGUCCACGCAGUAAACGAUGAUAACU
rnacentral:rRNA from 1 species